ensembl:snoRNA small nucleolar RNA SNORA8
UGCACUGUGUGGUAUCUGGAUUCAGUAGUUUAUUCCUGCUGGGUGUUCAAAAGACAUUGCAAUAUGAAUUCAGCACCUGGCAUCGUUGGUUUUCUUGGCAUGUUAAACCUGGUAUUUUUAUUGAUACAAUA